UCAAUCUCCCUUCUGUCUUGCAUGCUCUUAUUACAAAGUGAGUUUCAUCCUCCUGCUAUCAAAUGUGUGGUUUUGACCUGGAAAAGGAAAGGUGAGAAGGUCUUUAUUUCCUGUUCUUGAAUCUGGGAAGGCUCUGAGACUUAUGAGGCUAAUGCAUAAAUAGUUUAAAGAAUUUUAGCUGAUUCUCCUAAUACACUCGCUAUUGAGAUGCAGUCACUAUGCUGUGAGGAAGCCCAUGUAACAAUGUGGAGAUUCUGAAGUGAGUUCUGGGUUCUAAGCCAACAGCCUAAAUACUUUAGGUCCAUUAUUUAGGUCCAAGUUCAACCACUAGACCUGUACUUCGCAAGCCUUCAGAGGAUUCCUGCUUUCAGCCCGCAAGCUUUUUCAGCUGAAGCCCCCAGUAUCAUGGAACAGAAUCAGAUUAUUUCCACUGAGUCCUUUUCAAUUUCUUAACCCACAGGAUUUAUGAGCAUUAUGAAGUCAUUAUGGCUUUCUGCCACUAGGCUGAGAGUGGACCACAUAUACAGAAAUAAAAAACUAUUAAUAGAAAAAUAUAUUGCAAACAUCUAAUCCUCAAACCCCAUUCAAGUUUUGCCAACUACCCUCCAUCCUAUCAAAUAUUCCUUAUACCAAAAAGAUCCAGUUCAAAAAUAAGUGUUGCAUUUAUUUUUUAACCUCUUUUGAUCUGGAAUAGCUCCUCACACCGUCUUUCAUGACUUUAGUGCUUUGGAAGACUACAGAUGUUUAGGCUCAUCUGAAAUUUCCCUGCCGUCACCUGGGAAUCAACCAUUUCUUCAGGGAGUCCUAGUUUCUUUUAGCGUAUAGCCACCAAUUUCUACUGAGUAUUUAUCUACUAUAUGGCAGGUCAAGUCUGCAUUCUGGGAUAAAGUGUUGACACAAUCUUGAAUCAGUGCCUAAGGAGUUCACAAGUCCAGAGAGGGGAUAGCGCAUAGAGAAGAUAAAGCAGAUGUCCAUCCAAAGACUUGUAUGUGAAUGUUCAUAGCAACUUUAUUUGUAAUAGCCAAAACCUGAAAGCAACCCAAAUGUAUGUUAAGAAGCGAAUGGAUACAUAAAUUGUGGCAUAUGCAUACAAUGGGAUACCCAGCAAUAAAAAGGAAUGAACUAUUCAAGUAGGCAACAAAAGAUAAGAGAGCUGAAGAAGAGUGAAAAUAAAGAAACUUCUGCAAAGCCACACAUGUAAAAUAUAUUUCUGGCAACAGUGGAGAAGAAUGAUAGGAAGAGAAUCAUACUGGAAUAGUAUAGUCCUUUGGAAUGUUGUUGUAAUGAAGGCAAGAAGAAAAAUGAUCUUGAAGGCAAGAAGAAAAAUCAUAUUGAAGGAAAGGAGAGAUGAGUUUACCAAAUAUAAUCUCAGAAUUGUUCUGUAAAUUUCAUUUCUGCUUUAGCAGCCAUAAAGAGCUCCAUUUAUUACAGUAGGAACAGAGGCAACAGCAACAUGGGUGGCUGGCAGUGAUAGAAAGGAUUUUAGUUUUGAUACAUGGAAUUUGACAUGCUUUUUGAAAAUCUUCAGAUGGUGAUGUACAAACUACUGCAGGAACAUAUGAGGAAAGAUGAGAGAAUCCACAGACUCUUUGAAGGAAGCAGAUUGCUCCUGCAGGGCCUGGGAGACAACCAAACACUGGGUCCUUAGGGAGAGGUGCCAGAGGAAUUGGAAAAAGGCCACAGGCAGAAGGAAGGCUCCAGCUAAACUUGAUUGACCCAUCAUUUGGAUGACCCGAAACCACAGAUGCAAUAGAAGAAUGGAACAAAUUUGUACAUUUUGUCAAUAAAAACUUUAUCUUCA
rnacentral:lncRNA from 1 species